GGAAUCUUGCGCAAUGGGCGAAAGCCUGACGCAGCGACGCCACGUGGGUGAUGAAGGCCUUCGGGUUGUAAAGCCCUGUGGGGAGGGACGAAUAACGGCGACCGAACACGUCGUCGGAUGACGGUACCUCCUUAGCAAGCACCGGCUAACUCUGUGCCAGCAGCCGCGGUAAGACAGAGGGUGCAAACGUUGUUCGGAAUUACUGGGCGUAAAGCGCGUGUAGGCGGUCGCGCAAGUCGGGUGUGAAAGCCCAGGGCUCAACCCUGGAAGUGCAUUCGAUACUGUGUGGCUAGAGUCCCGGAGAGGGUGGUGGAACUCUCGGUGUAGAGGUGAAAUUCGUAGAUAUCGAGAAGAACACCGGUGGCGAAGGCGGCCACCUGGACGGUGACUGACGCUGAGACGCGAAAGCGUGGGGAG
rnacentral:rRNA from 1 species